UACGUAGGGUGCGAGCGUUGUUCGGAUUCAUUGGGCGUAAAGGGCGCGUAGGCGGCGGGGUAAGUCGGGUGUGAAAUCUCAGAGCUCAACUCUGAAAUGGCACUUGAUACUGCUCUGCUAGAGGACUGGAGAGGAGAUUGGAAUUCACGGUGUAGCAGUGAAAUGCGUAGAUAUCGUGAGGAAGACCGGUGGCGAAGGCGGAUCUCUGGACAGUUCCUGACGCUGAGGCGCGAAGGCCAGGGGAGCAAACGGG
rnacentral:rRNA from 1 species